rnacentral:rRNA from 1 species
UACGUAGGGGGCAAGCGUUGUCCGGAUUUAUUGGGCGUAAAGAGCUCGUAGGCGGUCUGUUGCGUCUGCUGUGAAAACCCGGGGCUUAACCCCUGGCUUGCAGUGGAUACGGACAGACUAGAGGUAGGUAGGGGAGAAUGGAAUUCCCGGUGUAGCGGUGAAAUGCGCAGAUAUCAGGAGGAACACCGGUGGCGAAGGCGGUUCUCUGGGCAUUACCUGACGCUGAGGAGCGAAAGUGUGGGGAGCGAACAGG